UUUCGAAUCAUUCACAAUGGGCGAAAGCCUGAUGGUGCGACGCCGCGUGAGGGAUGAAGGCCUUCGGGUUGUAAACCUCUGUCACCGGGGAAGAAACGCUUCAAGUUAACAGCUUGAAGCCUGACUUAACCCGGAGAGGAAGCAGUGGCUAACUCUGUGCCAGCAGCCGCGGUAAUACAGAGACUGCAAGCGUUAUUCGGAUUCACUGGGCGUAAAGGGUGCGCAGGCGGUUGGGUGUGUCAGAUGUGAAAUCCCGAGGCUUAACCUCGGAACUGCGUCUGAAACUACUCGACUAGAGUACUGGAGAGGGUAACGGAAUUCACGGUGUAGCAGUGAAAUGCGUAGAUAUCGUGAGGAACACCAGAGGCGAAGGCGGUUACCUGGACAGUUACUGACGCUCAGGCACGAAAGCAUGGGGAGCAAACAGGAUUAGAUACCCACGUAGUCCCUGAGCGGGCUGGCAAGGCGCAU
rnacentral:rRNA from 1 species